rnacentral:ncRNA from 1 species
GAUUUUGUUACGGUUUUUUAUUUACAGUACGGUUUAUGACUAUGGAAUUUAUAUGAGCCUCCAGUUACGAGAUUUUGCAUGUUGAGAAAUCAAGCACAAGAAACCGGGAUACGUAGGGCUAAGAUAGUGCCAGCAGCCGCGGUCAUACUACCCUACGAAGUGAAUAAUAUAAGUGAAGUAACUUAUAGUAAUAUAUCACAUUGGUGAAAUAUAUUUUAUAUCGUUUCUAAUAUAAGUAUUUAUUUACAAAAAUACCUUUCCCAAACAAGGAUUAGAUACCCUUCUAUGAAGUAACUAAAAAUUUCACUGGGUAUUAAAGUUGCAUUACCCAAACUCAAAUAACAUGGCGGUAAUUUUAAUGCUUAGGGGAACUUACCUAAUAAAUGAUAACCACCAAGUGAAGCUACUUUAAGUAAAAUUUUGUAUGCCGUCGUCUAGAUUAAAUAUUAUAUUUAAUCUUUAGUAAACAUACUAUAUGACAGAUCUUGGUGCAGACCAUCCUAAAGUUAAGGCGAGUUACAUUAAUAAAUUAGUUCUAUUGGUCACCUAUAUAAACCUAAAUAGUUGGACUUAAUAGUAAGGUGUUUAUUAUAAUUACUACCUGAAUUUUAAUAAAAUUGUGC